rnacentral:sRNA from 1 species
ACUGGGCACAGUGGCACGUGCCUGUAAUCCCAGAAGCUUGGGAGGUUGAGGUGGGAGGUUCGUGAGUUCCAAGCCAGCCUCGGCAAAAAAAACGAGUCGCUGAGCAACUCAGUGAGAUCCUGUCUCCA